rnacentral:rRNA from 1 species
UACGUAGGGGGCGAGCGUUGUCCGGAAUUAUUGGGCGUAAAGAGCGUGUAGGCGGUUCGGUAAGUCUGCCGUGAAAACCUGGGGCUCAACCCCGGGUCGGCCGUCGAUACUCUCGUGCUUGAGCACUGUAGAGGCAGGUGGAAUUCCGGGUGUAGCGGUGGAAUGCGUAGAGAUCCGGAAGAACACCGGUGGCGAAGGCGGCCUGCUGGGCAGUAGCUGACGCUGAGGCGCGACAGCGUGGGGAGCAAACAGG